rnacentral:lncRNA from 1 species
GUGGGGAGCUUACAUAAGCCCCCACAGAAGCUAGCUCCAGGUUUGCUGAGGGGGAGAAGAUGGGGGGAGGAGCCUGGUAAGGACAGGGUCCAAGCAUCCCCUAAACUGUGAGGCCUGGGAGCACAGACAUGACCAGGAGGCAGGAGCAGAGGCUGACACCCACAAGGACCCUUCCAGCGAGGGAUUAUAUAUCAUGCCAUAGAAAUACAUAAAAGACAAAUUAUCCUGAGAUCAUCGUGCUUCCAUUGACCUGCUCAAGGUUUAAAUCCAGCUGCAAUUAGAUACCAUAG